rnacentral:rRNA from 1 species
GGUGUUCUUCCCGAUAUCUACACAUUCCACCGUUACACCGGGAAUUCCAGUCUCCCCUACCGCACUCAAGCCCGCCCGUACCCGGCGCGGAUCCACCGUUAAGCGAUGGACUUUCACACCGGACGCGACGAACCGCCUACGAGCCCUUUACGCCCAAUAAUUCCGGAUAACGCUUGCACCCUACGUAUUACCGCGGCUGCUGGCACGUAGUUAGCCGGUGCUUAUUCGAAAGGUACACUCACCCGAAGGCUUGCUCCCGAUCAAAAGCGGUUUACAACCCGAAGGCCGUCAUCCCGCACGCGGCGUCGCUGCAUCAGGCUUGCGCCCAUUGUGCAAUAUUCCCCACUGCUGCCUCCCGUAGGAGUCUGGGCCGUAUCUCAGUCCCAAUGUGGCCGGUCGCCCUCUCAGGCCGGCUACCCGUCGUAGGCUCGGUGGGCCGUUACCCCGCCGACUACCUGAUAGGACGCGACCCCAUCCCAUACCGAUGAAAU